AUGCAAACUUUUGCACUCACCCUCUCCCCUCCCCCCCCCAGCUCCUACCUUUGGCCCCGGGCCCCCCUCGGGUGGGGGCUGCGCUGCCCGGCCCCCCCUGCUCCGUUCUUUUCGUGGGGGUCGUCGCCGUCCCCUUCGAGGGGGUUGUGCCCUUCGGGGUGGUCGCGGCUGUUCCCUUCGGGGGGGCCGUGCCCUUCGGGGUGGUCGCGGCUGUUCCCUUCGGGGGGGCCGUGCUCUUCGGGGGAGCCGUGGCGGCGCUUUUCGGGGGGGCUGUGCCCCUCGGGGGGGUCGCGGCGGAGCCCCCCGGGCCGCCCAUCCCCAAGGCCUCGGGUCGGAGCGCGGUACCGGGGGGCGCCGGGGGGGCGGCCGCGGCGGCGAAGAGCAGCAGCAGCGCGAGGGGGGGGGGCGGCAUGGCGAGACGGGACGGGACCGGACGGGACGAGCGGAGCGCGGCUCAGCGCUCAGCGCUCAGCCCCGGCCCUGCCCGCUCCCCUCUCCGCGGCCCCCCCGCCCCGUCCCGUCCCCGCCUCCUCCCCUCCUCGCCCCCCACCCCGCUGCGCUCUGCGGAACCCGGCCGUGCGCGGGGCUCGGAGCGGCGAGGAGGGGCUCGGGGGACCCCGGCUUGGGGGAGGACCGGUUUCGGGGAGCGGUGGAAAUAGAGGACGCGUGAAUGGACCCCCACCCCGGGACCCCUUUUUCUGCACGCUCCUCCCAUCCCCGCCCGCUCGGCGCUGGGGGAGCCGGUGGAGCCGCCCCCCGACCCACUGCCCCCCGCCUCGGAGACCCCCAGGACGCGGCCCCGGGGCAGCGAGGUGCCCGUGGCUGGGGCCGCCCCAUCCCCAGCUGCGCCCCAUAUCCCGGCGUGUUCUCGCCAUGGGGUUUCGUUCCGCCCUUCCACAACUGUUUCUGAUUACACAGCACUUCUGCUCGCGAACCCUUCCCGGCCCGGAGCCACGCUCUCGGCGCUUUCCCGUCCCUCCGCCGCCCUCCCGCUGUCCCCAUAUGCCCCCGGUGUGGGGUGGGGGCUCCCGGCUGUGCCCCAUCUCUGCACCCGGAGACCCCGAGCACCCCCACCCCGGCCCUACGGCUGAGCACGGGCCGCUCAUCACACCGCGCCGGUGCCGCCGGCUGAGCCCGGGCACCCACGAGGCCACGUAUGGAGCUGAGCCCCACAGCCAGCUCCGGCUGAGCCCCCCACCACCCUGGCCCUGCCCUGGCAGCAGGGGACAGCGGGGGACGUGUGUGGUGCCCUCCCCUGUGCUGUGCCUGGCAGCAUGGGGACCCCCAGGGCACUGGCACCCACCGUGCCCCACACACGUCCCCGCAGCGGGGUGGCCAUGA
rnacentral:lncRNA from 1 species